rnacentral:tRNA from 1 species
UGGAGGAGUGGCUGAGUGGACGAAAGCGGGUGAUUUGAAAUCACUUGAGGGUUGACAGCCCUCCGGGGGUUCGAAUCCCUCCUCCUCCGCUUA